AAGAUUUUGACACAGACCUGAAUUGUAAGAGGGAUUUCACCGGAAGCCUAAACAAGAUUUCAGUUACAAGCUCUACAGGAAGGUUAGGCAUUGGCAAGACUGAAUCUUUGCUUGAAAUGGAUAAAAAUUGAGCAGGAUUGCUCCGUUUUGGGUAUCGAGAGACAGCUUCAUCUCCUUGGGACAAGAUUUCAGUCACAAACUCUACAGAAAGAUUAGGCAUUGGCAAGACUGAAUCUUUGCUUGAAACGGAUGGAAAUUGAACAGGGUUUCCGAGAUUGCUCCGUUUUGGGUGUCGAGAGACUGCUUCAUCUCCUUGGGACAGGUUUUGAGUGACAGGCUCUACAGGAAGAUUAGGCAUUGGCAAGACUGGAUCUUUGCUUGAAACGGAUGGAAAUUGAGCAGGGUUUCCGGGAUUGCUCCGUUUUGGGUGUCGAGAGGCGGCUUCAUCCCCUAGGGAUUCCAUUUGGGUUGCAGAAAGGGGAAAUAUUUGGGAGUUCUCAGUAUAGAGAUUACUAUGUGAAGCCCUAAAUUUUCUAUCUAUUUUUUUUUCUCUUACAACAACUUUUUGGGUCCUUUACACUUUUUGAGCUAGUUUUAAUUUUUAUCUUUCAAUCUAAAUCAUAUUUUUGCGGUGUAUAAUUUUAUAUUUUUGCAUCAUAAUAUCUUAUUAGUUAUGUACCGUGUUGUUUAAUAACUUAUGCCUUACUAGGUAUAAAUUUGAUUUCAAAGCAUGAAAAGUAAAAAUCAAUUCUUUUGAAGAACAAAUCGUGCAAUUAAAUGCAGUGUUUUCUUUAAGGGGGAAGCAUUCAUUGUUUUAACUAGAGUAAAUACAUCAAAUCCCCCUUGAACUUGGCAGCAAAACCUUACUUUAGCACAUUAACUACACGGGCGUUUAUUUAACCCUCCAAUCUUGAAGGUGUGUAAACAACAAUAACUAUGAUGAAGGUGGUUUAAAUGUUAUAGGGUGAUAUUAAUUUCACUUCAAAUAAGAAUAGGCGGUAUUUAAAUGCCCGUAUAGUUAAAGGGCUAAAGUAAGUUAUACUAUCAAGCCAAGGGGAUUUGAUGUAUUUACCCUAGUAAAAACAAUAAAUGUUUCCCCUUUAUAGAAAACACUACAUUUAAUUGCACGAUUUGUUCUUCAAAAGAAUUGAUUUUUACUUUUCAUACUUUGAAAUCAAAUUUAUACCUAGUAAGACAUAAGUUAUUAAAAACACGGGACAUAACUAAUAAGAUAUUAUAAUGCAAAAAUAUAAAAUUAUACAUCGCAAAAAUAGAUUAAAAGAUAAAAAUUAAAACCAGUUCAAAAAGUGUAAAGGGCCUAAAAAGUUGUUGUAAGAAAAAAAAAGAUAGAAAAUUUAGGCCUUCACAUAGUAAUUUCCAUACUGAGAACUCCCAAAGAUUUCCUCUUUCUACAACCUAAAUGGAAUCCCAAGAGGAUAAAGCGGUCUCUCGACACCCAAAACGGAGCAAUCACGGUAACCCUGCUCAAUUUCGAUGUGUUUCAAGCAAAGAUCUAGUCUUGCCAAUGCCUAAUCUUCCUGUAGAGCUUGCCACUGAAAUCUUGUCCCAAGGAGAUGAAGCCGUCUAUCGACACCCAAAAUGGAGCAAUCCCGAAAACCCUGCUCAAUUUCCAUCCGUUUCAAGCAAAGAUUCAUGGCACUCCCAAAGAUUUCCCUUUAUGCAACCCAAAUGGAAUCCUAAAGAUUUCCCCUUUUGAAACUUGUGGUCUAAAGCAAUCCAUGGAUAUCUGUGUGGCUAUAAAUCAUCUUAUUAAGGUAAGAAGUCUAAAGUUAGAUUAUUUCAAAAUAAAUAAGUAUUAUAUUCUUUUUGGGACACGAUAAAAAAGAAAGCAUGCCACAUAAAUUAGGAUGGAGGGAGUAGCUAUUAGCAGCAAGAGAACACCAAAUAGUUUCGAAGAAAAUAAGUUAUCAGUUACACUGAGCAAGGAGAAAACACCAAAACUAGAUACUAUCUCAGAGCUUAAAAUUUGUUAAAUAUUCCUUUGUUUCCUCCCAUUGAAACCCUUUUUUGGGAUAAUGGCAGUGCCUUAGUCAGCUUUGCACCUCGGCUAUUCCACUUGGUAUUUGGUAUCUCCCACUAAUACAAGUACUAGCUAACUCAUCCGGUCAAACCUUUGCCCUAUUAAGCUUUUACCUAAAGAAGAAUAGUGAGAGAAUGGAUCCAAAAAACAAAACCUAGAACCUCUGUUGUUCUAUUCUUACUCUAUCUAUACGCACAACAUCCCUCUUACAACACUACUCAAAAUAAGUUCAUGAGACCAAGUAAUACAACAAAAAUAACUGCUUUAGCAAAAGAUUAUCGUUUUCUGAAAAUAGAUCAUAAAAGGAAAAUGACUCACAAGAUCACAAGUAUUAUGGAAACAAAAUUUAACAGCACUUCAGAAAAUACAUAGAAUGUAACUCUUACAGGUUAUUUGUCACAUGGAUGUUUUCAUCUGAGUUAUUUGAACCUCCGUUGCUAUUGCAGGCAUUGUCCCUUCUAAAAAAAGGGAUAAACUAGGCUCGUAACGUAGAUUUCUGCCUCAACAUUUGGAGCAAAGUUAGUAACAUCUAGAUAUUUGAUAGAGUCAUCCUUUGGAUUAUAUUUCCCCAAACGUGAUCCAAUUUCAAGCAAAAUGUCACCAUUUGACAAAAAAAUGGGAAAACCAUACAAACAUGAUAUAAAUUCAUUAUGAGACUUGAUAGUAAACAGCUUUGUCCUAGAUUCUUUAACUCCAUACUCCGUCAUAACACAGAUAUCUGCACCCCGCGUGUAAUUACAGAACACAGAAAGAUCACUUCCAAGCACUCCUAGUACGAAAUGACCAUAAUCAUUAAAAUUAAAAUUGCAGGGAUUUUCUAUCUCUGCCCAUUUCUCAUCUCACAAAUCAAUAGAACAAAUGUUCAUGCCCGUUUGAAUCCAAUGAAGUUUCCCUUACACAAGCUUACCCGGAAAAUGGAAAAAAAAUCUAUCUUUAAAGUCGCUAAUAUGCCUCCAAGAAACUCCUUAGACUAUAUAUCUGGACCUCAACACGACACAGACGCAUAUUUUUGUGAACAGGGAAAACUCCCACUACCUUGUAAUCAUCUUGAAGCUCAUCAAUGCAAAACCAAAUCUGCCAUGCCCAGGUUCCUCCGCUUGAUAUCCACCACAUCGAUUAAGUCUAUAACUAGGCAACUUGCUAUGCUUUCUAAUUGACGGAUUCCAUAUAAACAAGUCAUGUAAUUUGUUACAGACUAAUAGUAACACAAAUCAAUCCUUAACCGAACCCACAAGCCAAGGAUAGUCUUUGGGAUUUUUACCUGGAUGAUCCAAGUCAAUUACCUCCUUUACAGAAUGGUGAAGUAAAGCACUAAGAGAACAGUCUGUAACACCUAUGCCAGCAUAACUAGCAACCUUAAACAUAACUCCAAGAUGGGUGUAGUCCUUGUUACUAGCACAUAAUAAGAGAUGGGUCUUACAAAUUUAGGGCUAGAGAUAAAGGAAAGCCAAGAUUUUGACACAGACCUGAAUUGUUAGAGGGAUUUCACUGGAAGCCUUAACAAGAUUUCAGUGAUGAGUUCUGCAGGAAGCUUAGGCAUUGACAAGACUGAAUCUUUGCUUGAAAUGGACUGAAUUUCCAUGGGUUUGCUCCGUUUUGGGAGGGCUUCGUCUUCUUUGGAUUCCAUUUGGGUUUUGCAGAAAUGGAAAAUCUUUGAGGUUUUGAUAGGGAGAUUACUAUAUGAAAAGCCCUAAAGUUUGCCUAUUUUUCCCCCCCUUACAACAGAGCUG
rnacentral:lncRNA from 1 species